ensembl:lncRNA LOC120098573 uncharacterized LOC120098573
CAAGUUCGGGAGGUAAGGAGCUAGGUAAACAGAGCUGAAGAGAGAGCUCCAGGAGAAGGCCAGCCCCUCCUAGUGGGUAGAGAGGAGCCUUCUCCUUAAACUUGGCAACUGUGCCUCCAUUUUGUUGUUUCGAAAUAGGUUGGCAACAUCAAAUCAAUAAGUAGGUGUACCACAUACUUUUCAAUUUUUGUGGUAAACACACUGAAAAUCUACUACUUUAGUCUUCAAGAACAUAUUAUUGGCCGGUGUGAUGGUGCAGUCCUUUAAUCCCUGCACUAAGGAGGCACAGACAGGUGAUCUCUGUGACUUUAAGGCCAGCUUGGUCUACAUGAUGGAGACUGAGAACUAGCAAAUUUCGGACCUGUCCAGAGUCAGCCUGUGAAUUUAAAUCAGAGCUGGGGACAAAAGAAAAACCUCACUGUUUCGAAGCUGUGGACACUGGGACAUCACAAGCUCAGGCUUCCCGCUUAAGGAUGGAACUCUGCAUAGAGCGAUGUCAACUUCUUGAUCAACGGAGAAUCCCAUGUUGAAUCUCUCUCGAAGAUAAUUUACUCCAAGUAAAAGAUUUUCCUGUUAAGUAUUACUUAUGAUUGAACAAUAGGUAUCAUUAGGUAAGAAUUUUGAGGAUGAGUAAGUUCCUUGCAAAAAUGAAUACAAAACUUGCCUCUGAUCAGCCUGAUUAGAACACUGACAGGAGGAGGAGGAGGAAUCUGUGAUGAUGUUUUGAUAAACGCCCUCACUCAGGUGCCCUAACAUUUACAUGUUAAGUUUCAACUAUGGAUUCUGCACACAUUUACAAUACUUCCUCUCAACCAAUGUAAGAGACAGCCUGAGGCUGGCUAGAUGGGUGGAGGGGAAACGGGCCUGCCUUUGAGCAUGUGACCAUGUGAGUUCUCUUCCUGGGGUUCACACGGUGGAAAGAGAGAACUGGCUCUCUCAAGGUAUCCUCUGACACCUACAUAUGCACAUUGACACAUGCAGAUUUGUGUGCACAAACACAAAUCAAAAAAUGAAUACGUAGCAAUGUUUUAUUUAGAAAGACACACUGUCUGGGCCCAGCAGCCUCCCCCUAGCUAAUAUGGAAUCUAUCUAUAAAUCCUCCUGUAGUUGAGCUGUCUAAAUUACAGGUGACAUAAUUUAGGACAUGACCUAAGUCAAGAACCCACACUGAAUAAUACCCUCAGAGACCGAUGUCUAUCCAUUAACAGAAGCCUUCAAAAGCAUCUAAUCUUUCUUUCUCAGACCCUGGUUGUGCGUUGGGAGAAACAAAAAAUGAAUGAUCCCCUUUAAGAACCAUAUUGUUGGGGCUGGAGAGAUGGCUCAGCAGUUAAGAGCACUGACUGCUCUUCCUGAGGUCCUGAGUUCAAAUCCCAGCAACCACAUGGUGGCUCACAAUCAUCUGUAAUGAGAUCUAAUGCUCUCUUCUGGUGUGUCUGAAGACCACUACAGUGUAUUCAUAUAUAAUAAAUAAAAAUUUAAAAAACA